UACGGGGGGAGCAAGCGUUGUUCGGAUUUACUGGGCGUAAAGGGCGCGUAGGCGGUCGUGACAAGUCACUUGUGAAAUCUCCGGGCUUAACUCGGAACGGUCAAGUGAUACUGUCGGACUAGAGUACAGAAGGGGCAACUGGAAUUCUCGGUGUAGCGGUGAAAUGCGUAGAGAUGCGGAGGAAUACCAGUGGCGAAGGCGGCCUUCUGGGACUCAACUGACGCUGAAGCGCGAAAGCAUGGGGAGCGAACGGG
rnacentral:rRNA from 1 species